rnacentral:rRNA from 2 species
GAACGCUGGCGGCGUGCCUAAUACAUGCAAGUCGAACGAACUCUGGUAUUGAUUGGUGCUUGCAUCAUGAUUUACAUUUGAGUGAGUGGCGAACUGGUGAGUAACACGUGGGAAACCUGCCCAGAAGCGGGGGAUAACACCUGGAAACAGAUGCUAAUACCGCAUAACAACUUGGACCGCAUGGUCCGAGUUUGAAAGAUGGCUUCGGCUAUCACUUUUGGAUGGUCCCGCGGCGUAUUAGCUAGAUGGUGGGGUAACGGCUCACCAUGGCAAUGAUACGUAGCCGACCUGAGAGGGUAAUCGGCCACAUUGGGACUGAGACACGGCCCAAACUCCUACGGGAGGCAGCAGUAGGGAAUCUUCCACAAUGGACGAAAGUCUGAUGGAGCAACGCCGCGUGAGUGAAGAAGGGUUUCGGCUCGUAAAACUCUGUUGUUAAAGAAGAACAUAUCUGAGAGUAACUGUUCAGGUAUUGACGGUAUUUAACCAGAAAGCCACGGCUAACUACGUGCCAGCAGCCGCGGUAAUACGUAGGUGGCAAGCGUUGUCCGGAUUUAUUGGGCGUAAAGCGAGCGCAGGCGGUUUUUUAAGUCUGAUGUGAAAGCCUUCGGCUCAACCGAAGAAGUGCAUCGGAAACUGGGAAACUUGAGUGCAGAAGAGGACAGUGGAACUCCAUGUGUAGCGGUGAAAUGCGUAGAUAUAUGGAAGAACACCAGUGGCGAAGGCGGCUGUCUGGUCUGUAACUGACGCUGAGGCUCGAAAGUAUGGGUAGCAAACAGGAUUAGAUACCCUGGUAGUCCAUACCGUAAACGAUGAAUGCUAAGUGUUGGAGGGUUUCCGCCCUUCAGUGCUGCAGCUAACGCAUUAAGCAUUCCGCCUGGGGAGUACGGCCGCAAGGCUGAAACUCAAAGGAAUUGACGGGGGCCCGCACAAGCGGUGGAGCAUGUGGUUUAAUUCGAAGCUACGCGAAGAACCUUACCAGGUCUUGACAUACUAUGCAAAUCUAAGAGAUUAGACGUUCCCUUCGGGGACAUGGAUACAGGUGGUGCAUGGUUGUCGUCAGCUCGUGUCGUGAGAUGUUGGGUUAAGUCCCGCAACGAGCGCAACCCUUAUUAUCAGUUGCCAGCAUUAAGUUGGGCACUCUGGUGAGACUGCCGGUGACAAACCGGAGGAAGGUGGGGAUGACGUCAAAUCAUCAUGCCCCUUAUGACCUGGGCUACACACGUGCUACAAUGGAUGGUACAACGAGUUGCGAACUCGCGAGAGUAAGCUAAUCUCUUAAAGCCAUUCUCAGUUCGGAUUGUAGGCUGCAACUCGCCUACAUGAAGUCGGAAUCGCUAGUAAUCGCGGAUCAGCAUGCCGCGGUGAAUACGUUCCCGGGCCUUGUACACACCGCCCGUCACACCAUGAGAGUUUGUAACACCCAAAGUCGGUGGGGUAACCUUUUAGGAACCAGCCGCCUAAGGUGGGACAGAUGAUUAGG